CAAAGGGGAGUGAGAGCUUGAAUUCUGCGGAAAAGAUGAGAGAAAAGAGUGAGUUUGAGGGUAAAGAGGCUGGAAAAGAAUCAAGACUAGUUCAAGGAGGGAAGGUGGAGAAAGAAAAGGAGAAAGAAGAGGCUAAAGUUCCAAUCUCAACUUCCAUAGAGAUUGAAAUUGAAGAGGAAGUUGUAAUGCAUGAAUCUAAUGUAGUUGUUGUUGAGAAUUCCAUCAAUGAACUUAUAGAAGAGGUUGUGAAUGAUGAGGGACAUGGGGAGCACGUGAUUAAU
rnacentral:lncRNA from 1 species